rnacentral:rRNA from 1 species
AUUGAACGCUGGCGGCAGGCCUAACACAUGCAAGUCGAGCGGACGAAGGGAGCUUGCUCCUGGAUUCAGCGGCGGACGGGUGAGUAAUGCCUAGGAAUCUGCCCGGUAGUUGGGGAUAACGUCCGGAAACGGGCGCUAAUACCGCACACGUUCUGAGGGAGAAAGUGGGGGUUCUUCGGACCUCACGCUAUCAGAUGAGCCUAGGACGGAUUAGCUAGUUGGUAGGGUAAAGGCCUACCAAGGCGACGAUCCGUAACUGGUCUGAGAGGAUGAUCAGUCACACUGGAACUGAGACACGGUCCAGACUCCUACGGGAGGCAGCAGUGGGGAAUAUUGGACAAUGGGCGAAAGCCUGAUCCAGCCAUGCCGCGUGUGUGAAGAAGGUCUUCGGAUUGUAAAGCACUUUAAGUUGGGAGGAAGGGCGGUAAGUUAAUACCUUGCUGUUUUGACGUUACCAACAGAAUAAGCACCGGCUAACUUCGUG